UCGACGGCAGCACGGGAGCAAUCCUGGUGGCGAGUGGCGAACGGGUGAGUAAUGUAUCGGAACGUACCUUUCAGUGGGGGAUAACGUAGCGAAAGUUACGCUAAUACCGCAUAUUCUGUGAGCAGGAAAGCAGGGGAUCGCAAGACCUUGCGCUGAUUGAGCGGCCGAUAUCAGAUUAGCUAGUUGGUGAGGUAAAGGCUCACCAAGGCGACGAUCUGUAGCGGGUCUGAGAGGAUGAUCCGCCACACUGGAAUUGAGACACGGUCCAGACUCCUACGGGAGGCAGCAGUGGGGAAUUUUGGACAAUGGGCGCAAGCCUGAUCCAGCCAUGCCGCGUGAGUGAAGAAGGCCUUCGGGUUGUAAAGCUCUUUCAGCCGGGAAGAAAACGCAUGGGUUAAUACCCUGUGUGGAUGACGGUACCGGAAUAAGAAGCACCGGCUAACUACGUGCCAGCAGCCGCGGUAAUACGUAGGGUGCGAGCGUUAAUCGGAAUUACUGGGCGUAAAGCGUGCGCAGGCGGUUUGUUAAG
rnacentral:rRNA from 1 species